rnacentral:rRNA from 1 species
GGGUUGUGAGGUUAAGCGACUAAGCGUACACGGUGGAUGCCCUGGCAGUCAGAGGCGAUGAAGGACGUGCUAAUCUGCGAUAAGCGUCGGUAAGGUGAUAUGAACCGUUAUAACCGGCGAUUUCCGAAUGGGGAAACCCAGUGUGUUUCGACACACUAUCAUUAACUGAAUCCAUAGGUUAAUGAGGCGAACCGGGGGAACUGAAACAUCUAAGUACCCCGAGGAAAAGAAAUCAACCGAGAUUCCCCCAGUAGCGGCGAGCGAACGGGGAGCAGCCCAGAGCCUGAAUCAGUGUGUGUGUUAGUGGAAGCGUCUGGAAAGGCGCGCGAUACAGGGUGACAGCCCCGUACACAAAAAUGCACAUGCUGUGAGCUCGAUGAGUAGGGCGGGACACGUGGUAUCCUGUCUGAAUAUGGGGGGACCAUCCUCCAAGGCUAAAUACUCCUGACUGACCGAUAGUGAACCAGUACCGUGAGGGAAAGGCGAAAAGAACCCCGGCGAGGGGAGUGAAAAAGAACCUGAAACCGUGUACGUACAAGCAGUGGGAGCACGCUUAGGCGUGUGACUGCGUACCUUUUGUAUAAUGGGUCAGCGACUUAUAUUCUGUAGCAAGGUUAACCGAAUAGGGGAGCCGAAGGGAAACCGAGUCUUAACUGGGCGUUAAGUUGCAGGGUAUAGACCCGAAACCCGGUGAUCUAGCCAUGGGCAGGUUGAAGGUUGGGUAACACUAACUGGAGGACCGAACCGACUAAUGUUGAAAAAUUAGCGGAUGACUUGUGGCUGGGGGUGAAAGGCCAAUCAAACCGGGAGAUAGCUGGUUCUCCCCGAAAGCUAUUUAGGUAGCGCCUCGUGAAUUCAUCUCCGGGGGUAGAGCACUGUUUCGGCAAGGGGGUCAUCCCGACUUACCAACCCGAUGCAAACUGCGAAUACCGGAGAAUGUUAUCACGGGAGACACACGGCGGGUGCUAACGUCCGUCGUGAAGAGGGAAACAACCCAGACCGCCAGCUAAGGUCCCAAAGUCAUGGUUAAGUGGGAAACGAUGUGGGAAGGCCCAGACAGCCAGGAUGUUGGCUUAGAAGCAGCCAUCAUUUAAAGAAAGCGUAAUAGCUCACUGGUCGAGUCGGCCUGCGCGGAAGAUGUAACGGGGCUAAACCAUGCACCGAAGCUGCGGCAGCGACGCUUAUGCGUUGUUGGGUAGGGGAGCGUUCUGUAAGCCUGCGAAGGUGUGCUGUGAGGCAUGCUGGAGGUAUCAGAAGUGCGAAUGCUGACAUAAGUAACGAUAAAGCGGGUGAAAAGCCCGCUCGCCGGAAGACCAAGGGUUCCUGUCCAACGUUAAUCGGGGCAGGGUGAGUCGACCCCUAAGGCGAGGCCGAAAGGCGUAGUCGAUGGGAAACAGGUUAAUAUUCCUGUACUUGGUGUUACUGCGAAGGGGGGACGGAGAAGGCUAUGUUGGCCGGGCGACGGUUGUCCCGGUUUAAGCGUGUAGGCUGGUUUUCCAGGCAAAUCCGGAAAAUCAAGGCUGAGGCGUGAUGACGAGGCACUACGGUGCUGAAGCAACAAAUGCCCUGCUUCCAGGAAAAGCCUCUAAGCAUCAGGUAACAUCAAAUCGUACCCCAAACCGACACAGGUGGUCAGGUAGAGAAUACCAAGGCGCUUGAGAGAACUCGGGUGAAGGAACUAGGCAAAAUGGUGCCGUAACUUCGGGAGAAGGCACGCUGAUAUGUAGGUGAAGUCCCUUGCGGAUGGAGCUGAAAUCAGUCGAAGAUACCAGCUGGCUGCAACUGUUUAUUAAAAACACAGCACUGUGCAAACACGAAAGUGGACGUAUACGGUGUGACGCCUGCCCGGUGCCGGAAGGUUAAUUGAUGGGGUUAGCGGUAACGCGAAGCUCUUGAUCGAAGCCCCGGUAAACGGCGGCCGUAACUAUAACGGUCCUAAGGUAGCGAAAUUCCUUGUCGGGUAAGUUCCGACCUGCACGAAUGGCGUAAUGAUGGCCAGGCUGUCUCCACCCGAGACUCAGUGAAAUUGAACUCGCUGUGAAGAUGCAGUGUACCCGCGGCAAGACGGAAAGACCCCGUGAACCUUUACUAUAGCUUGACACUGAACAUUGAGCCUUGAUGUGUAGGAUAGGUGGGAGGCUUUGAAGUGUGGACGCCAGUCUGCAUGGAGCCGACCUUGAAAUACCACCCUUUAAUGUUUGAUGUUCUAACGUUGACCCGUAAUCCGGGUUGCGGACAGUGUCUGGUGGGUAGUUUGACUGGGGCGGUCUCCUCCUAAAGAGUAACGGAGGAGCACGAAGGUUGGCUAAUCCUGGUCGGACAUCAGGAGGUUAGUGCAAUGGCAUAAGCCAGCUUGACUGCGAGCGUGACGGCGCGAGCAGGUGCGAAAGCAGGUCAUAGUGAUCCGGUGGUUCUGAAUGGAAGGGCCAUCGCUCAACGGAUAAAAGGUACUCCGGGGAUAACAGGCUGAUACCGCCCAAGAGUUCAUAUCGACGGCGGUGUUUGGCACCUCGAUGUCGGCUCAUCACAUCCUGGGGCUGAAGUAGGUCCCAAGGGUAUGGCUGUUCGCCAUUUAAAGUGGUACGCGAGCUGGGUUUAGAACGUCGUGAGACAGUUCGGUCCCUAUCUGCCGUGGGCGCUGGAGAAUUGAGGGGGGCUGCUCCUAGUACGAGAGGACCGGAGUGGACGCAUCACUGGUGUUCGGGUUGUCAUGCCAAUGGCACUGCCCGGUAGCUAAAUGCGGAAGAGAUAAGUGCUGAAAGCAUCUAAGCACGAAACUUGCCCCGAGAUGAGUUCUCCCUGACUCCUUGAGAGUCCUGAAGGAACGUUGAAGACGACGACGUUGAUAGGCCGGGUGUGUAAGCGCAGCGAUGCGUUGAGCUAACCGGUACUAAUGAACCGUGAGGCUUAACCUUACAACGCCGAAGCUGUU